AAGUCGUAACAAGGUUUCCGUGGUGAACCUGCGGAAGGGAGUCAUUAAAUAGAGUUAAAGGGGUCUCUGGCCCGAACCUCCAACCCUCUGUCGUUAUAACUACUUCGUUGCUUUGGCGGGACCGCGAAAAGGUUCUCCCGAGCGCGCCGGUCUUCGGACAGGCGAGCGCCCGCCAGAGUCCAACCAAACUCUUGUUUUUAAACCAGUCGUCUGAGUAUAAAAGUUUUAAUUUAAAUUAAAAC
rnacentral:misc_RNA from 1 species